rnacentral:rRNA from 1 species
UACGUAGGGACCAAGCGUUGUUCGGAUUUACUGGGCGUAAAGGGCGCGUAGGCGGCAAUUCAAGUCAGCUGUGAAAUCUCCGGGCUUAACUCGGAACGGUCAGCUGAUACUGCUUUGCUAGAGUGCAGAAGGGGUAAUCGGAAUUCUUGGUGUAGCGGUGAAAUGCGUAGAUAUCUGGAGGAACACCCGUGGCUAAGGCGGCUCUCUAGUACGGUACUGACGCUGAGACGCGAAAGCGUGGGGAGCGAACAGG